AUUCCAGCUCCAAUAGCGUAUAUUAAAGUUGUUGCAGUUAAAAAGCUCGUAGUUGGAUUUCUGGUGGGAGCGAUCGGUCUGGCGCUUAGCGCGAGUACUUGCAUCGUCUCCGGCCAUCCUUGGGGAGAGUUUGUCUGGCAUUAAGUUGUCGGGCAGAGGAUCCUCAUCGUUUACUGUGAAAAAAUUAGAGUGUUCAAAGCAGGCUUAUGCCGUUGAAUAUAUUAGCAUGGAAUAAUAAGAUAGGACUUUGGUACUAUUUUGUUGGUUUGCGCACCAAAGUAAUGAUUAAUAGGGACAGUUGGGGGUAUUCGUAUUCCGUUGUCAGAGGUGAAAUUCUUGGAUUUGUUAAAGGCGGACUACUGCGAAAGCAUCUGCCAUGGAUGUUUUCAUUG
rnacentral:rRNA from 1 species